UAGCCUAAUAGAUAAGGUACUAGCCUCUUAAGUCAGGGAUUGUGGGUUCAAGUCCUAC
rnacentral:tRNA from 1 species